UAUUACAACAAUGGUCUCAAAGAAGUAAAAACACACAACAAGACGCAACCUAUUGAACUUGCACACAAGAACGAAAUCAGAUAGUAAAAGAAAGGUGUUGUGAGUCUUCACAAACUUUAAUUAAUGGUGAAUGAAUCUAUCGACAACACAAAUCAAUUCACGUAGCAACAACUCCCUACAAAAAUCACAGCAAGCAUAAUAACUCUUUCAAACUAAACAAACAAAGAUCACAUUGAACCAUAACAAGGAACGACAACGAACAUAACAAAAUCAUUGUUGUGGUAGUGUCAACCCAAAACGUAUUGAUAAUUGCAUAUUUCAACAAAUCUGAAACAAAUUAGAAAUCAAAGCAAAACACACCACCACCAACCACAAAAACAGAUCUGGAAUCGAUGAACGAUUCAAAUCCAGGAAGACAACAUCAACUCUUCACGCGAGCAAAAUUUUACAACCUCCAAAUAUCCAAUACCCAUGCUCAGGUGAUCCGAAUUCGACGACAUGAGCAAGCUAACUGAGUGAGAGAAGAGCGAAACAACCACUUGCCGAUGGCGUUGAACGAAACCACACAACGACGCCCACCUAAAAGCCAUAGUUAGACAACUUUCAGAAAACACGAUGGCACGAAGGAAGAACCUCAUCGCACCAUCAAACAACUUAGCUACAUGUUAAAGUCGAAGAUUGAAUUUUGAGAGAGAAAAAGUGAUGGAGGCGAAAAGGGUUUGGCCGAUGAUAGAGAAGAAAACAUUUACAAAGGUGAAUUGUUGUAAUAUGCAGGAUGGCGCCUUAGAG
rnacentral:lncRNA from 1 species